GGCUCUUUGAUGUUAAAAAUAAAGAGUCGGGCCUGCCCGGUGUGUUAUAAACGGUUGCAACGAGAGUUGUACUAAGGUAGCGUGAUAAGUUGUCUUUUAAUUGGAGAAUGGAAUGAAGGGUUUAACGUAGAAUUGCUUUUUUUAUAUAAAAAAUUGAAGUUUCCUUUUAAGUGAAAAGGCUUAAAUUUUUGAAAAAGACGAGAAGACCCUGUCGAACUUGAUUAAGAAUUAUUGAUGAUGAGUGUUCGGAAGUUUUAUUGGGGCAAUAUUAACUUAAAAAACAGUUAAUUUAUUCAAAGAUCCUUUUUGAAAGAAAUUGGAAAAAGUUACCGCAGGGAUAACAGCGUUAUUUUCCUUAAGAGAUCUUAUUGAGAGGAAAGUUUGCGACCUCGAUGUUGGAUUAUAGAAACUUUGUGGUGCAGCAGCUAUAAUUGUGAGACUG
rnacentral:rRNA from 1 species